rnacentral:misc_RNA from 1 species
GAUGAAGAACGUAGUGAAAUGCGAUAAGUAAUGUGAAUUGCAGAAUUCAGUGAAUCAUCGAAUCUUUGAACGCACAUUGCGCCCGCCAGUAUUCUGGCGGGCAUGCCUGUUCGAGCGUCAUUUCAACCAUCAAGCCCCAGGCUUGUGUUGGGGACCUGCGGCUGCCGCAGGCCCUGAAAACCAGUGGCGGGCUCGCUGUCACACCGGGCGUAGUAGAUUUUAUCUCGCUCUGGGCGUGCUGCGGGUUCCGGCCGUUAAAAAACCCUUUUAACCCAAGGUUGACCUCAGAUCAGGUAGGAAUACCCGCUGAACUUAAGCAUAUCAAUAAGCGGAGGA